UACGAAGGGGGCUAGCGUUGCUCGGAAUCACUGGGCGUAAAGGGUGCGUAGGCGGGUCUUUUAAGUCAGGGGUGAAAUCCUGGAGCUCAACUCCAGAACUGCCUUUGAUACUGAAGAUCUUGAGUUCGGGAGAGGUGAGUGGAACUGCGAGUGUAGAGGUGAAAUUCGUAGAUAUUCGCAAGAACACCAGUGGCGAAGGCGGCUCACUGGCCCGACACUGACGCUGAGGCACGAAAGCGUGGGGAGCAAACAGG
rnacentral:rRNA from 1 species